GGAAUCCCUCACAGGACAAGCUUCCCUAGCCGCGGCCGCUUUGGACGCGCGGGGAGGAGAGGGGAGGGACCUGACCGCGGCAGGGAAAUGCUAGUUUAACCCUUUUAUGAGUAGGAAGGACAGGGUCUAUGGCUUGUCUUGGGAACGACUUGAGUCCCGGUCCUGGUGCACUCCUUGUUAAUUAAUCUACAGGUGAUCAGCCAAGUUGUUGAGCCUCUCUUAUCAAGUCAGCUUCGAUAAAAUAGAAAUGAUAAGAGAACCCCACUGAAAUGCUAACGUUCAUUUGUGUAUUCUUUGCCUAACAUGUAGAGAAAGUUCAAACAAUGGUUUUAAAAUAAACAACCACAGUUAUCCAACGCAAGAGAUCAAGCCAAUGAAAGGUAGCAGAGGAAAGAUGCUACGAGUACUCAGAAAAGGCAAUGAAGGCCAGAGAGUCUGCUGGAACAUCGUGGAGGACGUGGAGCUUGUCCCUGGGUCUUCAACAAUAGGCAGAAUUUAAAUCCACUAGAGAAGCAUUUCAAAUAGCGGGAAAUGAGAUGAGCAGAGACAGAGGCAGAAAUAUAGAGUUCAAAGAGCUCUUUCAACGUGUCGAGAGUGAGCGACGACUUUCUGGGUGUGGGGGUAGAAGAAUUUACCAAGAGAGUGGGAGAUAAAGAAAGACAGAUUAAACAAAGUAGGAAAGUUCCUUGCCAGGGAGCAACGGGCAGAAUCAGCAAAGGAGGAGCUCACUGCCAGGAAACAAAGGCUUGUUGAGAAUUGUAUAGACUGGAACUUGGGGUGAUUGGUAACACCAAGGUGGCAGGGAGUUAACUUGCUUUUUGUUGCUGUUGUUAGCCCUUUGGUGUUUCAUAAAUUGAGGCGUUUGAAGGGUCUCACUCUUUCACCAAGGCUGGAGUGCAGUGUCCUAAAGAGAGCUCACUUCAAGCCUCCACUUCCUGGGCUCAAGCAAUCCUCCCACCUCAGCCUCUUGAGGAGCUGGGACCACAGAAAGCCUGUCUGCAUAGUGAGAAUGAAACCAAUACACUGAAAAAAACAGAGAAGAGAAAGAGGUAGAGACUUCAUCUGAUAUAAGCACGCCUAAAGCAAGGGACACCUAUGUGAUUCCAUCUUCGCAGGAGGUAGCAGGCAGCUCUUGUCGAGUUCAAGCCAGUUGAGACCACCAACCCUUCAACAGAACCUGCAUGGGUGCGUGAAGAGUGACCUUCUGAUGUCAAAGGGCCAAGGGCCAAAACCUGCAUCCUCUUUUCAUGCUAAUUCAACCAUUUUCUGAACGUGCAUCCUAUGAAGAGCCAUGUAGCUCAAUUAAGCUUGUGCAGAAACCCGGAUCACCUCACGUUCCCACCUGCCAAUCACUUUUACCCACACUUCACACCAUCCCGCUUUCCAUCCCCAUAAGUAUCCCUAAGCCCUGUUUUCAGGGAGGUGGAUUUGCAAUUUGUUCUCUGUCUCCUUUGCUCAGCAGCCUUGUGAGCCAUCUCACAAAAUAAAAUCUUUUCUCUUUUG